CCUACGGGUCGCAGCAGUGGGGAAUAUUGGACAAUGGGCGAAAGCCUGAUCCAGCCAUGCCGCGUGUGUGAAGAAGGCCUUCGGGUUGUAAAGCACUUUCAGUGGGGAAGAAAGCCUUGGGGCUAAUACCCUCGAGGAAGGACAUCACCCACAGAAGAAGCACCGGCUAACUCCGUGCCAGCAGCCGCGGUAAUACGGAGGGUGCGAGCGUUAAUCGGAAUUACUGGGCGUAAAGCGCGCGUAGGCGGUCUGAUAAGCCGGUUGUGAAAGCCCCGGGCUCAACCUGGGAACGGCAUCCGGAACUGUCAGGCUAGAGUGCAGGAGAGGAAGGUAGAAUUCCCGGUGUAGCGGUGAAAUGCGUAGAGAUCGGGAGGAAUACCAGUGGCGAAGGCGGCCUUCUGGACUGACACUGACGCUGAGGUGCGAAAGCGUGGGUAGCAAACAGGAUUAGAUACCCUUGUAGUC
rnacentral:rRNA from 1 species